GAUGAACGCUAGCGGCAGGCUUAAUACAUGCAAGUCGAGGGGCAGCAUGAUUGUAGCAAUACAAUUGAUGGCGACCGGCAAACGGGUGCGGAACACGUACACAACCUUCCAACAAGUGGGGGAUAGCCCAGAGAAAUUUGGAUUAAUACCCCGUAACAUGGCGAUGUGGCAUCACAUUGCUAUUAUAGAUUUUUCGCUCGUUGAUGGGUGUGCGGCUGAUUAGAUAGUUGGCGGGGUAACGGCCCACCAAGUCUACGAUCAGUAGCCGAUGUGAGAGCAUGAUCAGCCACACGGGCACUGAGACACGGGCCCGACUCCUACGGGAGGCAGCAGUAAGGAAUAAUUGACAAUGGACGCAAGUCUGAUCCAGCCAUGCCGCGUGAAGGAUUAAGGGCCUCUGGAUUGUAAACUUCCUUUAUAAGGGACGAAAAAAGGCUUUUCUAAGUCGUCUGACGGUACCUUAUGAAUAAGCACCGGCUAACUCCGUGCCAGCCGCCGCAGUAACAC
rnacentral:rRNA from 1 species